CCGCGGUAAUACGUAGGUGGCAAGCGUUGUCCGGAUUUAUUGGGCGUAAAGCGAGCGCAGGCGGUUUUUUAAGUCUGAUGUGAAAGCCUUCGGCUCAACCGAAGAAGUGCAUCGGAAACUGGGAAACUUGAGUGCAGAAGAGGACAGUGGAACUCCAUGUGUAGCGGUGAAAUGCGUAGAUAUAUGGAAGAACACCAGUGGCGAAGGCGGCUGUCUGGUCUGUAACUGACGCUGAGGCUCGAAAGUAUGGGUAGCAAACAGGAUUAGAUACCCUGGUAGUCCAUACCGUAAACGAUGAAUGCUAGUGUUGGAGGGUUUCCGCCCUUCAGUGCUGCAGUUAACGCAUUAAGCAUUCCGCCUGGGGAGUACGGCCGCAAGGCUGAAACUCAAAGGAAUUGACGGGGGCCCGCACAAGCGGUGGAGCAUGUGGUUUAAUUCGAAGCUACGCGAAGAACCUUACCAGGUCUUGACAUACUAUGCAAAUCUAAGAGAUUAGACGUUCCCUUCGGGGACAUGGAUACAGGUGGUGCAUGGUUGUCGUCAGCUCGUGUCGUGAGAUGUUGGGUUAAGUCCCGCAACGAGCGCAACCCUUAUUAUCAGUUGCCAGCAUUAAGUUGGGCACUCUGGUGAGACUGCCGGUGACAAACCGGAGGAAGGUGGGGAUGACGUCAAAUCAUCAUGCCCCUUAUGACCUGGGCUACACACGUGCUACAAUGGAUGGUACAACGAGUUGCGAACUCGCGAGAGUAAGCUAAUCUCUUAAAGCCGUUCUCAGUUCGGAUUGUAGGCUGCAACUCGCCUACAUGAAGUCGGAAUCGCUAGUAAUCGCGGAUCAGCAUGCCGCGGUGAAUACGUUCCCGGGCCUUGUACACACCGCCCGUCACACCAUGAGAGUUUGUAACACCCAAGGUCGGUGGGGUAACCUUUUAGGAACCAGCCGCCUAAGGUGGGACAGAUGAUUAGGGUGAAGUCGUAACAAGG
rnacentral:rRNA from 1 species